GAUGAACGCUAGCGGCAGGCCUAAUACAUGCAAGUCGAACGGUGUCUUCGGACAUAGUGGCGCACGGGUGCGUAACACGUAUGCAACCUACCUUACAUUGGGGGAUAGCCUUUCGAAAGGGAGAUUAAUACCGCAUAAGACAGUAGCUGGGCAUCCAGCAGCUGUUAAAGAUUUAUCGAUGUAAGCUGGGCAUGCGUCCAAUUAGCUAGUUGGUGAGGUAACGGCUCACCAAGGCAAGGAUUGGUAGGGGAACUGAGAGGUCAAUCCCCCACACUGGCCCCGAGAUACGCGCCAGACUCCGACGGGAGGCAGCAGUAGGGAAUAUUGGGCAAUGGACGCAAGUCUGACCCAGCCAUGCCGCGGGCAGGAUGAAGGCGUUAUGCGUUGUAACCUGCUUUUAUACAGGAAGAAACGACUCUUGCGAGAGGCAUUGACGGUACUGUAUGAAUAAGAACCGGCUAACUCCGUGCCAGCCGCCGCAGUAAGAC
rnacentral:rRNA from 1 species